rnacentral:lncRNA from 1 species
ACAUGCUCAAUAAAUGUUUAUUAAAUGCAUCUCUGCAUCCCACACAUGUUGCAGUCCUUAGCACAGAAGAAGGACUUGGGACCUGCUCUUCAGCUCUGUGCCACGAGGAACGUCUCAUCACUCCCAUUUUACAGAUGUAGGAUCCAAGACUCUGAGGGGUAACAGUCAGAGGUCGCCUUUAUGGGGGACAUGAAUCCCUCUGUUUCCUCCUGGUUUUCAUUCUGAACCUCUGUGCCCCUAGCAAACACCAUUAGCUCUUCCUGACUUCAGGAUGGACUGAGUAACGGAUGCCAGACACAGGGACGUUCCCAACACUGCCUAGAACGAAGUCACUUUUAACAGAGUGAAUGCGAACACAAUGUAUGCAUAUUGCACAUACAGAACUACCUGACAGUGCUAAAUAAUUCAGAGAGGGCGCCAGCAGCUCAGUGCCUUUUAAUAGUAAAUAAUUCAAGGGCUCUUGGCAUCCCUCCCACCGAUACAGCAAUAUAUCUUCCUGUGUCAGGAGAGAAGCAGGAGUCUUACAUGAAUGAAUGUGAGGGCCAUCACAACCAGAACCUUCUCCCCCAUGCAAGUUUACAGAGUGCAGUGGGCAACAUCAUUUGCAAUUGUUCUUUGAUUUAGGUGUCCAGCCGGUCAGACUUCCAGCGUGCUGGCUUUUGUUACAUAUAUAUAUUUUCUGAGACAGGAGUCUUGCUCUGUCACCCAGGCUGGUGUGCAGCAGUGGCACAAUCUUGGCUCACUGUUGAACCCAGGAGGGUUCAAAUGAUUCUCGUGCCUCAGCCUCCCGAGUAGCUGGACUACAGGUGCGCACCACCAUGCCUGGCUAAUUUUUGUAUUUUUAGUAGAGAUGGGGUUUCACUAUGUUGGCCAGGCUGGUCUCGAACUCCUGACCUCAAGUGAUCCACCCACCUCGGCCUCCCAAAGUGCUGGGAUUACAGAUGUAAGCCACCGCGCCCAGCCGGUUACAUAUUUUUUAAAGUGAGAGAAGAAAACAGUUUCCUCAGACAUCCACUGUGAUUAAAGACGAGCAAGUGUGCAGUUAUGUACAUAUAAAUUUGUUAGCAAUUUAGGUCACCCUUGGCCUACUGUUCAAACUGAGUGGCAGGCUUGAGAGCGGAGGGCAUCUUGAGUGGCGUAGUAGCCUCGCAUGUGUUCUGUCUUGUUAGCUAUGCAACUCUGGGCAAGUGAUGACACUUUCUUGUUCCUCAGUUUCCUCUUCUGUCA